rnacentral:misc_RNA from 1 species
GAAAUGCGAUAAGUAGUGUGAAUUGCAGAAUUCAGUGAAUCAUCGAAUCUUUGAACGCACAUUGCGCCCCUUGGUAUUCCGAGGGGCAUGCCUGUUCGAGCGUCAUUUGUACCUCAAGCUUUGCUUGGUGUUGGGUGUUUGUCUUUCCCUUGUGGCUGGACUCGCCUUAAAGAUAUUGGCAGCUGGGGCAUGGCCUUGGAGCGCAGCAAAUUUUGCGCACCUUGACUAUAUUCUAGCGUCCAUCAAGUACAUUAUCACUUUUGACCUCGGAUCAGGUAGGGAUACCCGCUGAACUUAA